rnacentral:sRNA from 1 species
CAUCCUGCAGGGACUAGAAAGCUGUCUGGGAGGAGUUGUGUUUGUGCCUGGGUGUUUGCCACUGCUUGGGGUAGUGGGUGUGUGUUUGGAGUUGGAGAGAAGAUGAUCUGUAUGAAUAUCUAUAUUUGGAUGUGAGUGGUUCUAUGGUUUUGUUUCCAGGGGGGAUUGCCCGUGUGUGGAGAGACUCUAUAUGUUUGUUUACGAUUGUAUGUGUUUUCCUGUGUUGGCAUGUUCUGCAUUUGUGUGCAUUCUGGUGAGAGACUGGAGGUGGUGUGAGGGGCAGGGGGCAUAUGCACACUUGUGUGUGUCUGAGUGUGUCUGGAUGCUGGUGCCCCCACCUACAUUUGUGUUCUGUUCCUGGAACAGCGCCAUGGGGCAAGCGUGGCUGGAAGAUGUUCCACACCUUACUGCGAGGGAUGGUUCUCUACUUCCUGAAGGUAGGAAAGGAGCCAACACCCCUGUCAGAAUGGGAGACUGAGAGAGGCCCAGAACUGUCUGGAGGGUGGGCAGCUGAUGAUAACCUCUUCUCUGAGCCCCUGUGACUGGUAGCAGGGAGAAGACCACUGCCUGGAGGGGGAGAGCUUGGUGGGGCAGAUGGUGGAUGAGCCCGUGGGGGUGCACCACUCGCUGGCCACCCCUGCCACCGAUUACACCAAGAAGCCGCACGUCUUCCAACUGCGCACGGCUGACUGGCGCCUCUACCUCUUCCAGGCACCCACUGCCAAGGAGAUGAGCUCCUGGAUCGCGCGCAUCAACUUGGCUGCGGCCACGCACUCCGCGCCGCCCUUCCCCGCCGCUGUGGGCUCCCAGCGCAGAUUCGUGCGGCCCAUCCUGCCCGUGGGACCCGCCCAGAGCUCCCUGGAGGAGCAGCAUCGAUCCCACGAGAACUGCCUGGACGCUGCCUCGGACGACCUGCUGGAUCUGCAGAGGAACUUACCGGAGCGGCGGGGCCGUAGCCGCGAGCUGGAAGAGUAUCGCCUGCGGAAGGAGUAUCUGGAGUACGAGAAAACCCGCUACGAGACCUACGUGCAGCUGCUGGUGGCCCGCCUGCACUGCCCCUCUGAUGCUCUGGACCUGUGGGAGGAGCAGCUGGGGAGGGAAGCUGGAGGCGCUCGGGAGCCCAAGCUCAGCCUGAAGAAGUCCCACUCGAGCCCGUCCCUGCACCAGGAUGAGGCUCCCACCACGGCCAAGGUGAAGCGCAACAUCUCAGAGCGCAGAACCUACCGGAAGAUCAUCCCCAAGCGGAACCGCAAUCAGCUGUGAAGCCAGCACCACCUCAGAGACACUGCCCCCUGCUCCAGGGUAGACCUGGGAUGAACCUCCCUGGAGGAGACUUAUUUCAAUGAGUCCACCGUGAUGGAUGAGGCACCUCCUUUCCCUGCUGAAGAACAAACCUCGUUUCCCUGUGGCCCUCAUUCUUGUGUCCACUGAAGCUUUCCUAAUACUGCUGUACUCCCCCCCCACCCCCAUGGCAGUCCCUCCGCAGCCCCAUCCCUGGCCACACCCAAGGGAAGAGGGAGGUUGAGGACUUGACUUUCCUGCCAGAGCUCAUCCCAUGUCACCCUCCAGGCCCCAGAAUCCAGAGUGGCCUCAUUUCCUAGACCUGGGAGCUCAGCACUUGUUUGAGAACCAGUGCAUAUGUGGUGUGGCCUUGAAUUCUGGGGGAGAGCUUGGGGCAGCAGAGGCCCCUGGGCAGCCCAGCCAAGGGAGCCACAGCCCCGAGGAUGGUCUUGCUCUGGGAAGUAGGUGACCUUCCUGGGGAGGCCCCAGGAGAGUGAAUCAGGGACUCUUGAGAAAUUCCUAACCAGCCUCCUGUGACCCAGGGAGCAGGGUCGCUAAGGUCCUGCCCACCGAGGGGACAGCCUUCUGGGCAGGGACCUCGGGGGUCUUCAAGGGCUCCGCACGGCUGUGGGGCCCUGUGCCUUUGUCUCCUUGUGUAUCUUUUCCCCCUACAGUCUUCCUUUCCCCCGAAGCAGAUGAAACAGUCUCACAUAUCCAGCUGCUCAUCAACAGAGCAGAGCUGAGGCAUGAGUGAGGGCUGGGAGGGGUGGGGCCUCCAGAGCUUUGCAGGGAACCCUGGAACCCUGGGAACAAAGAGUCUUUGUUCCAACACAGCAGGGAAGGAGGUUCUCUAGGUUCAGACCACUGGAGAGGAUAGAGAGGUGAAAGGUGGCGACAGUUUCCCUUAGGGGUCUGCCUGGCAGGAGCCACAGGUCAGGAGAGUUGUGAGGGAUGGGAUGGAGGCUGGCGACCAGGUAAGGCCUAGGCCACGCUCGGAAGACUCUACUGUGCUCCUUCCUACACACGCCUUAAAGCUUCCUUCCUGUGGGAUGCCUGGACCCCUUCCCCAUCUCUGGCAGGUCAGAGGGUCUCUGCUGCUCUUCCCUGGGAAAUCCCCUCGUCCUGCCCUCUGGCUGCCUCCCAACUGGGCUUGUUCUCUGAGGGAGGUUCCAGAGACUCAUGGACUUGGGGCUCUGCCUGUAGGAAGGAGGCUGGGCCAGAGGGAGCAGCCACCAUUGUCUCUGUUCAGCCAAGUGUGCAAGUAGGCUGCCCGCCAAGAGGGGGCCUCUGCUACCCGCUGCUGCCUGCCGGCUGACGCACUGCCUCCCCAGCCUUCCUGCUAGGCCACCCUCCUCCCUUCCCAUGCUUGUAACCAGCUCUGGGGCCUGGACCUCCACAAAGUGGCUGGCCCUUGGAGGCCACAUUUGGGUCUCCGGCCAGGGCCUGGGGCUAGGCCAUGCACCCAAUGGGUGCACAAUAAAUACAGGUCAAC